rnacentral:tRNA from 1 species
GGGCGGUGGAGGCACAGCAAAAUGCAAAUUUGAAGAAGCACCCAUAAAGGUGCCCCGGCU